UAAAUGAAGUCCUAGCAUGCUGGAUUUAAACCUUUGCAAUUCAGGAGAAUUUCCAAACUUGUGGAAUAAUCUCACUACAUCAGAAGCAAAACUUUUGGCGAAGUUUUAAACAGGAGCAUUUCCAAACUUAUGGAAUGAUCUAACAACAUCAGGGUCAAAACAUUUGGCGACUUUUACAAACAGGUUUAUUGGAAUGACUGUUAGAAUAAACUAUACAUCAAUAUCAAGAUAUUCAACUGUACAUUCAUUCUACCUUAUAUAACGGCACUAUUGAAUGUAGUUUACUAUUGCUAAAAAAAUUAUAACAAAAGUAGGCACGUAAAACAGUCUUUCCCAUAAACAAUUGUAAAUAAAAUAACGUUUUCUUUUGCAAGGAGAGUCUUUAAAAAGUUGAAACUAGAGGAAAAGUAUGCACAAAAAAAAAAGCACGGUUAUUACAGGAUUAUUUCAAUGAACAUAACAAUGGUAGGGUCAUUUGUCAGACAAUUAGUCUUAAAUGAAUUCGAACACAUAUAUGUCUAUACAACUUUUUGUCCAUAUGCCUUUUUGUGUUUAUUUCUUACAUAUGACGUGGCUUUGUACUUAUACAUUCCAUCAUUAUAUUAUUGUGCCAUGGUUAUUGUUUGUUAAUAUAUUUGUAUAUUUUAUAGGGAUUAAGAUAAUAACACAAUGUUGACUGCUGUGCUUCUAUUUUUGACAUUUUUACCUGUUAUGUCUGUUUGUUUUGUUCACAAAUCGUUGUCAAUAUAAUGGAUUCAAACACGACAGUCAAACAAGGGAGAGGUUUAGCUAGCUUUAAAACCAAUUUAAUCCACCAUUUUUUUAUCAAAAGAAAAUGCCUGUACCAAGUCAAGAAUAUGACAGUUGGUGUUCAUUGGUUUGGUAUGGUCACUAUUUUCUAUUGUACAUAAAUUACUAAUUACAUUAAACUUCAUUAAUAUUCAAUUAUUGACUCUUUCUGUUAUUAAUUUCAGGGUAAUUUCCCAACCUGUGAAUAAUCUCACAACAUCAGAAGAAAAAGUUUGGCGACUUUUAUAAACAGGAGAAUUUCUUAACUUGUGGAAUAAUCUCUAAACAGAAGAACAAAAACUUUCGGCGACUUUUACAAGGAAAUUUACUCAUAAAGAAAAAAAAGCUAGAGACUCCAAGAGGCAGGAAAAGAACAGAAUAGGCAAUCACAAAUCAUGUACAUGUAUCACAAU